CAAUAGCGUAUAUUUAAGUUGCUGCAGUUAAAAAGUUCGUAGUUGGAUUUCGGGUGGGAAUGGCCGGUCCGCCGUUUCGGUGUGCACUUGCUACGCCCACCUUGCUGCCGGGGACGUGCUCUUGAGUUCACGCUCGGGACACGGAGUCGGCGAGGUUACUUUGAGUAAAUUAGAGUGUUCAAAGCAGGCCUACGCUCUGAAUACAUUAGCAUGGAAUAACACGAUAGGACUCUGGCCUAUCUUGUUGGUCUGUAGGACCGGAGUAAUGAUUAAGAGGGACAGUCGGGGGCAUUCGUAUUUCAUUGUCAGAGGUGAAAUUCUUGGAUUUAUGAAAGACGAACUACUGCGAAAGCAUUUGCCAAGGAUGUUUUCCUUGA
rnacentral:rRNA from 1 species